rnacentral:lncRNA from 10 species
AAAAGAGAUAAUUUCAAAAAUGAUCUGGAUUGAGUCAGGAAUGCUGGCGGGGAAGAUAACAACUUAAUGGCAGAAUCAACAGAUUUAAGUGGAAUCAAGAGCUUCUUGGGCCAGCAGAAGCAAGUAAAUGGCACAUGUAAAGUGGAUGUGAUCACUUACCGUCAAGAUAGCAAUGAUACAGUAAUCUUGGUUCAGGGAGUGGCCAGACAUGCAGAGAUUUCUGGCACUCCCAUUUGGACUAUAGUAUUAUCAGUGGUAAAAACUACAUUAAGUAGAGUUAUACUCUAAGGUUUAUGGUUUGUUUUAUCUUUUUUUUUUCAAUGAGAAAUUUUCCAGGCUUGAAAACAGGUCCUCUGAUUCAAGUCAGGAUGCUAGUCACUGAGUCCUCAUCGUUUCUGGAUAAAAGUUAAUGUAUUGUCCUAGAAUCCUUGGAUACAAGCCAAUCUCGAGAGCCGUUGUGAAAGUAAUGGCAACCAAUCUUACAAGAGUAAUACAUGAAACUUCCCUGUAGCCUUUUCUGGUAUGACCUGUAAUAUUUUAUCUUUGUGUCUGUUCUUAGGGGGUUAAAGACAAAAUUAUUCAAUAAUUCUUGUUAAAACAUGGUGAAAAAGACUUUAUUCAGGACUACCACAAUAAGUACAGAAAUCACUGCAAUGAGGUCUUGCAACGAGGGAGAGAGAUUAGGUUCAGUGCCAAAUAUAGCAUGCGCAGGUGAGAAUUUAUAGCCAAGGAGCAGAAUUGGGUUUGUGGAUAGAAAAUCACUUAGUGGAAACAUCAGAGGUCAGGGGGAUUCUGGCUAAAUUGACCUAACAGGAUUCUUGCUGAAGAAAGGCCAGGUGAUCAGACUUUACCUGGGGAUUGGUGGAGAAUGAGGAACCUGAUCAGAUAUUAGGGGUAAUUGACAUUGAGUGUAGGAGGUUCUUAAUAAAUUGACUUAGCAAGGAUUGCUAAAACUGAAUUUUACAAAGAAGUGAAGAUAGGCCCUGGGAAGUUUCAGAAUCCCGACCAAAGUUUGGCCAAGCAAAGAAUCUUCGUCAGGAGGAAGAGAAAUAAACCAUCUACUGAUGAUUGUGACAACACAAUUUCCGAGGCCAGAACACAACCGCAAUCCAACCGAGGUCAGGAUCAGUUUAUACAUCAAGUGCUAGUUAUAAGUAAACUUCCAUCCUAAGUUCACCUAACAUAGAUGAUUUCUUCAAUGUAUAAGUCCAUUUGUGUUGCUAUAAAGAAAUACCUGAAUCUGGGUAAUUUAUACAGAAAAGAGGUUUAUUUUGCUCAUGGUUCUGCAGGCUUUACAAGCAUGGUACCAGCAUCUGCUCAGCUUCUGGUGAGGGCUCAGGAAACUUUACAAUUUUGGUGUAAUGCAAAGGAAAAGCAAGUGUGUCAUGUGGUAAGAAAGGGCAGGACAGAGAAAAGGAGCAUAGAGAGAUGCCAGGCUCUUUUAAACAAGUAGCUCUCAUGCGAACCGAUGGAGUGAGACUCAUUCAUUACCAGGAGGACAAUACUAAGCCAUUUAUGAGGGAUUUGCCCCCAUAACCAAAAUACCUCCUACUAGGCCCCACCUCCAACAUUGGAAAUCACAUUUCAACAUGAGAUUUGGAGGGGAAAAACAUUCAAACUAUAUCAUCCAUUUUCCAGGUAUUGUAAAUCCUAAUAUUGAUUCUUAUAGACAAAGGGUCAAAUAUAAAACUUGGAAAAUUGUUUACCUCCACCCUACCCCAAUUAGACAAAAAAUAUUCCUGAAAGAUCUGAAGGUAUCAGCACCACCACAAUAGACUUGCAUACCAAUCUUCCUAAUGCAAGAAACUGUUGGAUUCUCAAGAAUGACAUUGGAUUACUUACGGCUAACCAGGUAAGACUUUUGAAAGCAGAUGAUGUUUCUGACAUAAUUAGUUUUUUUCUCUGCAAAUAAUUAGUAAAUCACGAUUAACUUGGAAUGUAACUCUUUAAUAUUUUGGAGUCUUUUGUUUGGACUCUAUUGUUUUCAAGCCCUCAGAGGUAAAUUUUCUUUUACAGCUGGGACAAGAGAAAGCACUUCGUUCUUGACUUGGGAUAUUAAACCAACCUUGUAUUUCUGACAUAACUCUCAAUUUGUCAUGUUGUAUAAGUCUGUCUAUAUAUUACUGGAUUUGGUUGACAAGUUUCUGUUAAGAAGUUUUGUGUCUAUAUUAAAAUAAAU